rnacentral:rRNA from 1 species
AGAGUUUGAUCAUGGCUCAGAUUGAACGCUGGCGGAAUGCUUUACACAUGCAAGUCGAACGGCAGCACGGACUUCGGUCUGGUGGCGAGUGGCGAACGGGUGAGUAAUAUAUCGGAACGUAUCCAAUAAUGGGGGAUAACUAAUCGAAAGGUUGGCUAAUACCGCAUACGCCCUACGGGGGAAAGCUGGGGACCUUCGGGCCUGGCGUUAAUGGAGCGGCCGAUAUCUGAUUAGCUAGUUGGUGAGGUAAAGGCUCACCAAGGCGACGAUCAGUAGCUGGUCUGAGAGGACGACCAGCCACACUGGAACUGAGACACGGUCCAGACUCCUACGGGAGGCAGCAGUGGGGAAUUUUGGACAAUGGGCGAAAGCCUGAUCCAGCCAUUCCGCGUGAGUGAAGAAGGCCUUCGGGUUGUAAAGCUCUUUCGCAAGGGAAGAAAGAUUACUCUCUAACAUAGAGUGAUUAUGACGGUACCUUGAUAAGAAGCACCGGCUAACUACGUGCCAGCAGCCGCGGUAAUACGUAGGGUGCGAGCGUUAAUCGGAAUUACUGGGCGUAAAGCGUGCGCAGGCGGUUUUGUAAGUCAGAUGUGAAAUCCCCGAGCUCAACUUGGGAACUGCGUUUGAAACUACAAGACUAGAAUAUGUCAGAGGGGGGUAGAAUUCCACGUGUAGCAGUGAAAUGCGUAGAGAUGUGGAGGAAUACCAAUGGCGAAGGCAGCCCCCUGGGAUAAUAUUGACGCUCAUGCACGAAAGCGUGGGGAGCAAACAGGAUUAGAUACCCCGGUAGUCC